GACGAACGCUGGCGGCGUGCCUAACACAUGCAAGUCGAGCGAAUGAAGUUCCUUCGGGAAGGGAUUUAGCGGCGGACGGGUGAGUAACACGUGGGCAACCUGCCUCAUAGAGGGGAAUAGCCUUCCGAAAGGGAGAUUAAUACCGCAUAAGAUUGUAGUACCGCAUGGUACAGCAAUUAAAGGAGCAAUCCGCUAUGAGAUGGGCCCGCGGCGCAUUAGCUAGUUGGUGAGGUAACGGCUCACCAAGGCGACGAUGCGUAGCCGACUUGAGAGGGUGAUCGGCCACAUUGGGACUGAGACACGGCCCAGACUCCUACGGGAGGCAGCAGUGGGGAAUAUUGCACAAUGGGGGAAACCGUGAUGCAGCAACGCCGCGUGAGUGAUGACGGCCUUCGGGUUGUAAAGCUCUGUCUUCAGGGACGAUAAUGACGGUACCUGAGGAGGAAGCCACGGCUAACUACGUGCCAGCAGCCGCCGUAA
rnacentral:rRNA from 1 species